rnacentral:tRNA from 1 species
GGUUCUGUAGUGUAGCUGGUUAUCACAGCGGAUUCUGAUAAAUCUGAUUAUUCCGCUAACCCCGGUUCGAAUCCGGGCAGGACCU